AAUAGAUACCCUGGUAGUCCACGCCGUAAACGAUGAGUGCUAAGUGUUAGAGGGUUUCCGCCCUUUAGUGCUGCAGCUAACGCAUUAAGCACUCCGCCUGGGGAGUACGGUCGCAAGACUGAAACUCAAAGGAAUUGACGGGGGCCCGCACAAGCGGUGGAGCAUGUGGUUUAAUUCGAAGCAACGCGAAGAACCUUACCAGGUCUUGACAUCCUCUGACAACUCUAGAGAUAGAGCGUUCCCCUUCGGGGGACAGAGUGACAGGUGGUGCAUGGUUGUCGUCAGCUCGUGUCGUGAGAUGUUGGGUUAAGUCCCGCAACGAGCGCAACCCUUGAUCUUAGUUGCCAGCAUUUAGUUGGGCACUCUAAGGUGACUGCCGGUGACAAACCGGAGGAAGGUGGGGAUGACGUCAAAUCAUCAUGCCCCUUAUGACCUGGGCUACACACGUGCUACAAUGGAUGGUACAAAGGGCUGCGAGACCGCGAGGUCAAGCCAAUCCCAUAAAACCAUUCUCAGUUCGGAUUGU
rnacentral:rRNA from 1 species